rnacentral:lncRNA from 1 species
CAACCAAAUAUGUAUUCGCACACGCAUAUGCUAUUCACAACAUUCCAAGGAAUCAAUCAAUCAAACAAGAUUUGGUAUCCCCUAUAUAUUAAAAGAGAAGCAUUACAACAUAUUUUUGUAACCACAUGUCAUCACCACAAUCACUCUUAAAAUUCUUAGAAAAAUAUGUUGGUCCAUAUACAUAUAUAAUAAGUUUUUUAUUAAACUAACCAUAAAUUAAU